AAUACCAUUGUGUCCUAUGCUGACAUGAGCAGGAACCAGAGAUAGAAUAUGUAGAAGGCUAUGAGGAACUUGAAGAAGAAGAAGAUAUGGAAGAUUUUGGUGGCCCUGCAAUUGAUAAGUCUUUGAAGGAUGAUGAUUCUGAUGACGUUGGUGAAGAUGGUGAUGAUGAGCUAAUAAUGGGACUAAGCAGUUCAUUGGAAGAGGGAGAGAAUAGGUUCUCAGCGAAAUAUUGAGAGGGAGGAACCUGGUACGAAGUUGAAGAAGAAAGCAACGGUGAUUAUUGAGGUUGAACAUGAAGAUGCUGGUGCAAGGUAAAAGGAAGUCCAAUGAAAGAACCUACGAAGAACGUCUGGAAUUAAGCUACCAAGAACAAGUGGUUAUUGAGCCAUAUACAAGCUGUAUCGUCUCAUGGGUCGCUUGAGGGUGGAGAACUGCUUAGCAUCAAAUUUUUCAUUUAAUUUUGACCGCGAUAUAUAGUCUCAUCAGAAUUUGAUCUUUGAAGAUAACAACAGAGGCAAAAUGUUCAUGAGAUCAGUUACACAACAUUUAUGAAUGGAAGUUUUGAUUUGUAUAUUGCU